ensembl:lncRNA
CGGGAACGGAUCCGGGAUCAGAACGGGACACCGGGAACGGACGCCGGGAUCAGAACGGGACACCGGGAAUGGAUCCGGGAUCAGAACGGGACACCAGGAACGGAUCCGGGAUCGGGAGGCGCAGAUCGGAUCGGGACGCCGGGAAUGGACCGGGAUCGGCAACGCGCCGGGAUUGGGAACGGGAACGGGAGCGCGGCGGGAUCCCAGGAACGGGAUCGGAGCAGGAACGGGAACCGGGAUCGGGGAGAGCAGCGGGAAUUCGGGAACGCGGGAUGGGAAAUUCGGGAAUGCAGAUCGGCCACAGAGAAAGGAACGGGAAAUUUGGGAAUGCGGGAUCGGCCCCGGGAUGGGAAAUUCGGGGAUGUGGGAUCAGCCCCAGAGAGAGGAACGGGAAAUUUGGGAGAGAGGAGUGGGAAAUGUGGGAAAUGUGGAAAUUCCGGAGCUUUCCUGGGAUCAGGGAGAGCCCCGGACCCAGCGGGAUCAGGAGGGGAAUGGGGGUGGGAAACCCCAAAUCCAUCGGGAUGGGAAUGAGGAAAAACCCCAAAUCCAUCAGGAUGGGAACAGGAGAGAGGGAAAAUCCCAAAUCCAUCGGGAUGGGAAUGAGGAAAAACCCCAAAUCCAUCGGGAUGGGAAUGAGGAGACCCCAAAUCCAUCGGGAUCAGGUUGGGAAUGAGGAAACCCCAAAUCCAUCGGGAUGGGAAUGAGGAAACCCCAAAUCCAUCGGGAUCAGGUUGGGAAUGGGGAAACCCCAAAUCCAUCGGGAUGAGAAUGGGGAAACCCCAAAUCCAUCGGGAUGGGAAUGAGGAAACCCCAAAUCCAUCGGGACUGGGACGGGAACAGAGGGAAAAUCCCGGGAUCGGGGUCGGGAUCGGGGUCAGGGUCGGGAUCCGGAGCAGCUUGGGAAGAUCUCAAAUCCCUCGGAGCGCCGGGGCCGGGAGCCGCAGCCGCCUCCUUCCCCCCUUUUCCCCCAAAUCCCCCCGGAGCGAAAUUCCCGGGAUCGUUCCCGGGGUUGUUCCCAAAAUUCCGCCCCAAAAAUUCCCCCAGAAAGGGCAAAAACCCCAAAAUUCCCCCUCACCCCUUUAUUAUUUUUUUUUUUACAAAUUUUGGAGGUUUUGGAGCCACCCCAAAUUCUCUCUCCAAGAGCAGAAUUCCCAAAAUCCCAAAUUUCUGAGAGGAGAAAUCCCAGAAUUCCCAAAAUCCCCAAAUUUCUGAGGAGAAUUCCCAAAAAUCCCAAAAUUCCUGAAUUUCCAAGUGAAGAAUUCCCAUAAUUCUGAGAAUUCCACAAAUUCUCAAAAUUCCCAAAUUGCUGAGAGGAGAAUUCCCCGAAUCCCCACAUUUCCAAGUGGAAAAUUCCCAAAUUUCCCCAAAUCCCCAAAUUUCUGAGAGAAUUCCUAAAAAUUCCCAAAUUUCCGGGAGGAGAAUCCCCAAAUUUCUGAGAGCAAAAUUCCCAAAAUUCCCAAAUUUCUGAGAGGAGAAUUCCAUAUCCCGAAUUCUCGAGUGCAAAAUCCCCAAAUUUCCGAGUGGAAAUUUCCCAAAAUCCCCAAAAAUCCCAAAUUUCUGAGAGGAGAAUUCCCAAAAUUCCCGGAAUUCCCGGAUUCCCGGCGGGUUUUGUACUGUAUUUAUUGUCCAUAGCGCGUUUUGUACGGAAUUCUGGAACUUUCCUAUUUCUGCUGUAAAUUAAAAUCCUUUUAAUUAACGAGCCGC